rnacentral:lncRNA from 1 species
UUAUUGUUGUUGUGUGUAUAUAUAAUUGUGCAUGUGUGGAUGAUAGCACAGAUAUUUUAAAUUAAAGAAAAAAAAGAUCAUAUUUAGUUAAGAAAAAAAAAGCUUACAGAUUAUGUAUUAUAUACUUUGUUGCUAUAGUUAAGAACAGAAAUGUAUGAAUUAUCACAGCCUUGAUCAUUUUUGCCAUUGUUGCUUUGGGAUUUGCAUUCCAGAAAAAUAAAUAUACAGCCUCAAAAUAUUCACACGCUUGAAUUUCAUGCAAUAACAUUUUUAAGGAUGUAUUCCUGAAAUAUUAAUCAGUUCCAUAAAAGAGAUGUAUAGAAACCAAUUUUCAACUGUGAAUAGGGUAUUAUUAUAAGUUUAAAAUAAGGAUCUUAUUCUUAAUUGAAAUAUACUGGCAUAAUAUAAAAUUUAAGAGAACUAACUUUAAAUCACUCUUUAUCAUAAGAAUAAAAUAAUAUUUUUUUUUCUUAAAAACCUAUUAUCUUUCUUUCACCUACUAAACAGUACAGUAUAAUAAAAAAGGUUUUAUAAAACUUGCACAUUAAAGUAAAAAUUGUAAAAAUAAAAAUCAAAAGUAAUGUGGCAUAGUAAAACUCAGACCUAAUCAAAUGACACUUUCAAAGGAAAAUGGUCUUAAUAAAGUAUAAUUAUUAAAGGGAUGAAAGAUAAAUAUGUGAAUGUAACUUUAGCUGAUCUUAAUAGUGUUGAGAUUGAAUUUGGUGAAAGUUAAAAAAUAAUGCUAAAUGUUUUGGUUAAGU